rnacentral:rRNA from 1 species
AGUAGUCAUAUGCUUGUCUCAAGAUUAAGCACAUGUGUAAGUAUGAACUAAAAUUUCGACUGGGUGAAACUGCGAAUGGUCAUUAAAUCAAGUUAUUAGUUUGUUUUGACUGGUAUCUGCUACUGUCUUGCGGGAUGCGGAUACCGGUAGAUAUCUGAGCUAAUCGUGCAACAACCCCGACCUUCUGGAAGCGAGAUUUGCAUUUAUUCAGAUAAAAGUCGACGCGGGCUCUGCCCGUUGCUCUGAUGUUCAGGAUAAACUCCGAGGAUCGACGCCAUACGUGCCGGCUGACGCAUGCAUUCAAAAUUUUCUGCCCUUCAACUUUCGAUGGUAGGAUAAGAAGGCCUACCAGUGGUGGUGGACGGGUUUGACGGAGAAUAGGGUUCGAAUUCCGGAGAGGGGAGCCUGAGAAACGGCUACCACAUCCAAGUGAAGGCAGCAGGCGCGCAAAUUCCCAAUCCUGACUACGGGGAGGUAGUGACAAUAAAUAACAAUACCGGGUUCUUCGAGUCUGGUAUAUUGAAUGAGUACAAUCUAAAUCUUAACGAGGAAUCCAUGGAGGGCAAGAUCUGGUGCCAGCGCCGCGGUAAUUCCAGCUCAUAGCGUAUAUUUAAGAUUGUUGCAGUUAAAAAGCUCCGUAUUUGGACUUGGGUUGGUGGUCGACCGGUCCGCCUCCGCGGUGUGCACUGUCGGCUCGUCCUUUCUGCCGGCGAUGCGCUCCUGGCCUUAACUGGCCGGGUCGUGCCUUCCGGAAGCUGUUACUUUGAAGAAAAUUAGAGUGCUCAAAGCAAGCCUACGCUCUGGAUACAUUAGCAUCGGGAUAACAUCAUAGGAUUUCGAGUCCUAUUGUGUUGGCCUUCGGAUGCGGAGGUAAAUUGAUUAACAGGGACAGGUCGGGGGCAAUUUCGUAUUGUCAUAGCUCAGAGGUGAAAUUCAUGGAUUUUAAUGAAAAGACGAAACCAUCUGCGAAAAGCAUUUGCCAAGGAAAAUGUAUUUUCAUUAAUCAAAGGAAAGAAAGGUUGGGGGCUUCGAAGACGAUCAAUCCGUCCUAGGUCUCCAAUAUAGACGAUGCGACAGGGAUCGGCGGAUGUUGCAUUUUAGGACUCCGCCGGCACCUUAUGAGAAAUCAAAGUCUUUGGUUCGGGGGAGUAUGGGUCCGCGAAGGCUGAAACUUAAAGGCAAUUCGAACGGAAGGGCACUCAACCAGGAAGUUGGAGCCUGCGGCUCUAAUUUUGACUCAAACGGGGAAUACUUACCAGGUCAGCACAUAGUAAGGACUUGACCAGACUGAGAGCUCUUUUCGUGAUCUAUGUAGGUUGGUGCAUGGAGCCGUUUCUUAGUUGGUGGUAAGGCCGAUUUGUCUGGAUUAAUUCCGUGUACGAACGGAGACUCAGCCUGCUAAAAUAGCUAUAGCGGAGGUGACCCUCCGCCGCCAGCUUCUUUAGAGGGACUAUGGCCCUUUUAGGCCAAGGAAGUUUGAGGCAAUAACAAGGGUCUGUGAUGCCUUUAGAUGUUCUGGGCCGCACGCCGGCGCUACACUGAUGUAUUCAACGAGUCUGAUAGCCUUGGCCGACAGGUCCGCGGUAAUCUUUGAAAUUCAUCGUGAGUGGGGGAAUAGAUCAUUGCAAUUGUUUGGUCUUCAAACGAGGAAUUCCUAGUAGAGCGCGAGUCAUCAGCUCGCGGUUGACUACGUCCCUGCCCUUUGUACAUCACCCGCCCGUGCGCUCUCUACCCGAUUGAAUGGGUCCGGUGAAGUGUUCGGAUCGCGGCGACGUGGGCGGUUCGGCCGCCGCUGACGUCGCGAGAAGUCUGCACUCGAACCUUAUCAUUUUAAGAGGAAGGAGAAGUGUAAACAAGUUUCCGUCAGGUUGAAAACUGCGGAAG